rnacentral:rRNA from 1 species
AACCACCGGAGGGAUCAUUG